GUGAGAUUAGUAUAACUAGUACGUAGUGUUGUGAUCGCUAAAGAAACUCGAUGUUAUCUUACU
rnacentral:tRNA from 1 species